rnacentral:rRNA from 1 species
UACGUAGGGUGCAAGCGUUGUCCGGAAUUAUUGGGCGUAAAGAGCUCGUAGGCGGUCUGUCGCGUCGGCUGUGAAAACCCGGAGCUCAACUCCGGGCCUGCAGUCGAUACGGGCAAACUGGAGUGUUGCAGGGGAGACUGGAAUUUCUGGUGUAGCGGUGAAAUGCGUAGAUAUCAGAAGGAACAUCAGUGGCGAAAGCGGCUUCCUGGACCAAUAUUGACACUUAGGUGCGAAAGCGUGGGGAGCAAACAGG